GGCAGGGUAGCUCAGUUGGUUAGAGCACGGGACUCAUAAGCCCGAGGUCGUGGGUUCAAUCCCCACCCCUGCUA
rnacentral:tRNA from 1 species